rnacentral:rRNA from 1 species
CCUACGGGAGGCAGCAGUGGGGAAUAUUGCACAAUGGGGGAAACCCUGAUGCAGCGACGCCGCGUGAGGGAAGAAGUAUUUCGGUACGUAAAGCUCUAUCAGCAGAGAAGAAAAUGACGGUACCUGACUAAGAAGCCCCGGCUAACUACGUGCCAGCAGCCGCGGUAAGACGUAGGGGGCAAGCGUUAUCCGGAUUUACUGGGUGUAAAGGGAGCGUAGACGGGAUGGCAAGUCUGAAGUGAAAUCCUAUGGCUUAACCAUAGAACUGCAGUGGAAACUGUUCAGCUGGAGUUCAGGAGAGGUAGGCGGAAUUGCUAGUGUAGCGGUGAAAUGCGUAGAUAUUAGGAGGAACACCAGUGGCGAAGGCGGCUUACUGGACUGUAACUGACGUUGAGGCUCGAAAGCGUGGGGAGCAAACAGGAUUAGAUACCCUGGUAGUC